ACAAGUUACUAAGAGCAACGGGCGGAUGCCUUGGCGCUGGAAGGCGAUGAAAGACGUGAUAAGCUGCGAUAAGCGUCGGUGAGGAGCUAAAUAUCCUUUGACCCGGCGAUUUCUGAAUGGGGAAACCCAAUUAGAGUUAUGUCUAAUUACCGUAACAUGAAUUGAUAGUGUUACAGGAGCUAACUCAGGGAAGUGAAACAUCUCAGUACCUGAAGGAAAAGAAAUCAAACGAGACUCCCAAAGUAGCGGCGAGCGAAAUGGGAAGAGGCUAAACCGAUAGGAUUCGUCUUAUCGGGGUUGUAGGGCUGACAUACGCAAUCUUGGAGUAGAUAGAAGAAGCUGGCUGGAAAGCCACACCAGAGAAGGUGAAAGUCCUGUAUUUGAAGUCGAAAAGAGUGCAGUCGGUACCUGAGUACUGCGAGGCACGUGAAACCUCGUGGGAAUCUAGGAGGACCAUCUUCUAAGCCUAAGUACUACCCAGCGACCGAUAGUGUACCAGUACCGUGAGGGAAAGGUGAAAAGAACUCCUGUUAGGAGAGUGAAAUAGAAUCUGAAACCUGUUGCUUACAAGCUCUGGGAGCAAUUUUACGAUUGUGACCAGGUGCCUUUUGCAUAAUGAGUCAGCGAGUUAAUCUGUACAGCGAGGUUAAGCGUAAGUGUAGCCGUAGGGAAACCGAGUCUGAAAGGGCGCUAUAGUUGUGCGGAUUAGACCCGAAACCGGGUGAUCUAUCCAUGAGCAGGUUGAAGCAAGGGUAAAGCCUUGUGGAGGACCGAACAGUCAACGGCUGAAAACGUUUCUGAUGACUUGUGGAUAGGGGUGAAAGGCCAAUCAAACCCGGUGAUAGCUGGUUCUCCCCGAAAUAUAUUGAGGUAUAGCCUCAGGGAUUGUCUAACGGAGGUAAAGCACUGAAAAAGCUAGGGGUCCUACCAGAUUACCAAACUUUAUCAAACUCAGAAUACCGUGUAGAUGUACCCUGGGAGUCAGACAGCGGGUGCUAAGGUCCGUUGUCGAGAGGGUAAGAGCCCAGAUCAACAGCUAAGGUCUCCAAAUACAUACUCAGUGGUCAAGGUGGUGGGGUUGUUUAGACAGCCAGGACGUUGGCUUAGAAGCAGCCAUCGUUUAAAGAAAGCGUAAUAGCUCACUGGUCUAAUGACUCUGCGCCGAAAAUGUAACGGGGCUAAGUAUGUUACCGAAGCUUUGAAUUGCACUUUAUGUGUUCUGGUAGGGGAGCGUUCUCUUGUAGGCUGAAGGUGUGUCGUAAGGCAUGCUGGACGAAAGAGAAGUGAUUAUGCUGACAUGAGUAACGAUAAAACAGGUGAAAAACCUGUUCGCCGAAAACCCAAGGUUUUCCGGGUAAAGUUAAUCUUCCCGGAGUUAGUCGGCCCCUAAGGCGAGAGCGAAAGCUGUAGCUGAUGGGAAACGGGUUAAUAUUCCCGUACUUUUAUGAUUGUGCGAUGGAGGGACGCAGGAAGAUAGGCUAUCCGGCUGUUGGAUGCCGGUGCAAGUGUGUAGGAGCAGGAUACAGGCAAAUCCGUAUCCCGAGUCUGAGACACGAGUCCGUGGGCGCAAGCCCUGAAGUAGUUGAGUCUAUGCUGCCAAGAAAAGCUUCUCAGUUUAGGUCAUAAAAACCGUACUGCAAACCAACUCAGGUGGGUGGGAUGAAUAAUCCAAGGCGCUCGAGAGAAUUCUGGCCAAGGAACUCGGCAAAAUAACCCCGUAACUUCGGAAGAAGGGGUGCUCCUUAUUGUGAUAUAUUUGCUUAUGUAGCAUUGAGGAGCCGCAGUGAAUUGGUGGUGGCGACUGUUUACUAAAAACAUAGGUCUGUGCGAAGUCGCAAGACGACGUAUACGGACUGACGCCUGCCCGGUGCUGGAAGGUUAAAAGGAGGGGUCAGCGCAAGCGAAGCUCCGAAUUGAAGCCCCAGUAAACGGCGGCCGUAACUAUAACGGUCCUAAGGUAGCGAAAUUCCUUGUCGGGUAAGUUCCGACCUGCACGAAUGGCGUAACGAUCUCCACACUGUCUCGGCCAGAAACUCGGUGAAAUUGAAGUCGCGGUGAAAAUGCCGUGUACCCGCAGAAAGACGGAAAGACCCUGUGCACCUUUACUAUAGCUUGACAUUGGAUUUUGGGCCUACAUGUGUAGGAUAGGUGGGAGACUGUGAAAUAUGUACGCCAGUAUGUGUGGAGUCAUCCUUGAAAUACCACCCUUGUAUGUCUAAGGUCCUAACGUGACGCCGUGAUCCGGCUCACAGACAGUGUCUGGUGGGUAGUUUGACUGGGGCGGUCGCCUCCUAAAGAGUAACGGAGGCAUACAAAGGUUCCCUCAGGCUGUUUGGAAAUCAGCCGUCGAGUGCAAACGCAUAAGGGAGCUUGACUGUAAGAGAGACAUUUCGAGCAGAUACGAAAGUAGGUGUUAGUGAUCCGGUGGUCCCGUAUGGAAGGGCCAUCGCUCAUUGGAUAAAAGGUACGCCGGGGAUAACAGGCUGAUCGCAUCCAAGAGUUCAUAUCGACGAUGCGGUUUGGCACCUCGAUGUCGGCUCAUCACAUCCUGGGGCUGAAGCAGGUCCCAAGGGUACGGCUGUUCGCCGUUUAAAGUGGUACGCGAGCUGGGUUUAAAACGUCGUGAGACAGUUUGGUCCCUAUCUUCUGUGGGCGUAGGAAAAUUGAAAGGGCCUGUUCCUAGUACGAGAGGACCGGAAUGGACGCACCUCUGGUGGACCUGUUGUCGUGCCAACGGCACAGCAGGGUAGCUAUGUGCGGAAGGGAUAACCGCUGAAAGCAUCUAAGCGGGAAGCCUGCCUUAAGAUAAGUUUUCCCUGAAGGACCGAUGCAGACUACAUCGUUGAUAGGCCGGAGGUGUAAGUAUAGCGAUAUAUUUAGCUGACCGGUACUAAUAGUCCGAUUGUCUUGUUUCA
rnacentral:rRNA from 1 species